rnacentral:rRNA from 1 species
GAAAACCACCCCGAUGAGGGGAGUGAAACAGUACCUGAAACCGGAUGCUUACAAGCUGAGGGAGCUCUUCGGAGUGACCUCGUACCUUUUGUAUAAUGGGUCAACGACUUAGUGUUGUAUGCAAGCUUAAACCGUUAGGUGUAGGCGCAGCGAAAGCGAGUCUGAAUAGGGCGACCGAGUAUGCAGCAUUAGACCCGAAGGCAAGUGAUCUAGGUAUGGGCAGGGUGAAGGUGCAGUAACAUGCACUGGAGGUCCGAACCCACUGAUGUUGAAAAAUCACGGGAUGACUUGUGCCUAGGGGUGAAAGGCCAAUCAAACUCGGAGAUAGCUGGUUCUCUGCGAAAUCUAUUUAGGUAGAGCGUCAGGUGAAUGCCCGCGGGGGUAGAGCACUGGAUGGGUGAUGGGGUCCCACAGACUUACUGAGCCUAACCAAACUUGAAUACCGAGGAGCACUAUCUGGCAGACACACGGCGGGUGCUAACGUCCGUCGUGGAGAGGGAAACAACCCUGACCUACAGCUAAGGCCCCCAAUUCAUGGCUAAGUGGGAAAGCAGGUGGGACGACCAAAACAACCAGGAUGUUGGCUUAGAAGCAGCCAUCAUUUAAAGAAAGCGUAACAGCUCACUGGUCUAGAUAAGUUGUCCUGCGGCGAAGAUGUAACGGGGCUAAAGGUAUGCACCGAAGCUUUGGGUUUGGCGCAAGCCAAGCGGUAGCGGAGCGUUCCGUAAGCCUGUGAAGGUAAACCGUAAGGUUUGCUGGAGGUAUCGGAAGUGAGAAUGCUGACAUAAGUAGCGAUAAAGAAUGUGAGAAACAUUCUCGCCGAAAGUCCAAGGGUUCUUGCGUAAAGUUAAUCUGCACAAGGUUAGUCGGCUCCUAAGAUGAGGCUGAAAGGCGUAAUCGAUGGGAAUCAGGUUAAUAUUCCUGAACCUGAAGGAUGUGACGAAAAUAGUAAAUUGUACAGUCUUAUUGGAUUGAUUGUGCAGUGAAUAUUUUCCAGGAAAUAACACCUUCAUUAUAGACCGUACCCGAAACCGACACAGGUGGUCAGGUAGAGCAUACCAAGG